rnacentral:lncRNA from 10 species
UGUAGUUGAAGUUAAGUCAGAUAAGCUCCCAGAAGAGAUGGGCCUCCUGCAGGGCAGCAGCGGUGACAAGAGGGCUCCGGGAGACCAGGGAGAGAAAUACAUCGAUCUGAGGCAUUAGCCCCGAAUCACUUCAGCUCCCUUCCCUGCCUGGACCAUUCCCAGCUCCCUGCUCACUCUUCUCUCAGCCAAAGCCUCCAAAGGGACUAGAGAGAAGCCUCCUGCUCCCCUCGCCUGCACACCCCCUUUCAGAGGGCCACUGGGUUAGGACCUGAGGACCUCACUUGGCCCUGCAAGGCCCGCUUUUCAGGGACCAGUCCACCACCAUCUCCUCCACGUUGAGUGAAGCUCAUCCCAAGCAAGGAGCCCCAGUCUCCCGAGCGGGUGCACCACUGAAGUGAGGACACACCGGAGCCAGGCGCCUGCUCAUGUUGAAGUGCGCUGUUCACACCCGCUCCGGAGAGCACCCCAGCAGCAUCCAGAAGCAGCUGCAGUGUUGCUGCCACCACCCUCCUGUCUGCCUCUUCAAAGUCUCCUGUGACAUUUUUUCUUUGGUCAGAAGCCAGGAACUGGUGUCAUUCCUUAAAAGAUACGUGCCGGGGCCAGGUGUGGUGGCUCACGCCUGUAAUCCCAGCACUUUGGGAGGCCGAGGCGGGCGGAUCACAAAGUCAGGACGAGACCAUCCUGGCUAACACGGUGAAACCCUGUCUCUACU